GACGAACCGAGCGAACGUUGUUCGGAAUCACUGGGCUUAAAGGGCGCGUAGGCGGGCUGUCAAGUCUGGGGUGAAAUCCCGCGGCUCAACCGCGGAACUGCCUCGGAUACUGACGGCCUCGAGGGGGGUAGGGGCGAGCGGAACUGAUGGUGGAGCGGUGAAAUGCGUUGAUAUCAUCAGGAACUCCGGUGGCGAAGGCGGCUCGCUGGACCCCGUCUGACGCUGAGGCGCGAAAGCGUGGGGAGCAAACGGG
rnacentral:rRNA from 1 species